AACGAACGCUGGCGGCAUGCCUAACACAUGCAAGUCGAACGAGACCUUCGGGUUUAGUGGCGCACGGGUGCGUAACGCGUGGGAACCUGCCCUUAGGUUCGGAAUAACUCCCCGAAAGGGGUGCUAAUACCGGAUAAUGUCUUCGGACCAAAGAGUUAUCGCCUUUGGAUGGGCCCGCGUUGGUUUAGCUAGUUGGUAGGGUAAAAGCCUACCAAGGCGACGAUCCAUAGCUGGUCUGAGAGGAUGCUCAGCCACACUGGGACUGCGACACGGCCCAGAAUCCUACGGGAGGCAGCAGUGGAGAAUACUGGACAAUGGGCGAAAGCCUGAUACAGCCAUGCCGCGUGAGUGAUGAAGGCCUUAGGGUUGUAAAGCUCUUUUAGCCGGGAUGAUAAUGACAGUACCGGGAGAAUAAGCACCGGCUAACUCCGUG
rnacentral:rRNA from 1 species